rnacentral:rRNA from 1 species
GCUCGAGUGGCGAACGGGUGAGUAACACGUGAGUAACCUGCCCUUGACUUUGGGAUAACUUCAGGAAACUGGGGCUAAUACCGGAUAGGAGCUCCUGCUGCAUGGUGGGGGUUGGAAAGUUUCGGCGGUUGGGGAUGGACUCGCGGCUUGUCAGCUUGUUGGUGGGGUAGUGGCUUACCAAGGCUUUGACGGGUAGCCGGCCUGAGAGGGUGACCGGCCACAUUGGGACUGAGAUACGGCCCAG